rnacentral:rRNA from 1 species
GCGUUGUCCGGAUUUAUUGGGCGUAAGGAGCUCGUAGGCGGCUUGUUGCGUCGACUGUGAAAACCCGCGGCUUAACCGCGGGCUUGCAGUUGAUACGGGCAGGCUAGAGUUCGGUAGGGGAGACUGGAAUUCCUGGUGUAGCGGUGAAAUGCGCAGAUAUCAGGAGGAACACCGGUGGCGAAGGCGGGUCUCUGGGAUGACACUGACGCUCAGGCACGAAAGCGUGGGGAGCAAAAGGG